rnacentral:lncRNA from 1 species
CCCUUUUCAAUUUUAUUUCUUAGAAAAACAAUUCAUUCGUCGCCAUUAAUGAACAACAAUUUCUCAGAAAAGUAGCUCGUUCUGUAACCGAAUCAACUCGUCGCCAUUAACGCUUCGUGGAGAAAGCAUGCUAAGCAAGCUCAUGAGUGUAAAUCCUUCAUCGAAAUCCUCAAAUCUUCAUCAAAUCAAUAACAACAAAGUUCUGUUAUUUGAACAACAUCUGUGAAAAACAAUCUAAUCUCAAGAACAUUAGAUUCUUGUUGCUUGUUAUUUGAAAAACAAUCGAGAAAAAAAUCGAAAGGUUUGGAGAUUUCGGUUACUCAAAUCUGUGAAAAAAUCCAAAAGUUUAUUUUUUUCAAAUCUGGAUUUUUUGGGAUUUGUUGAUUUGGGAUUUGCUUGUCAUCNNNAGAAAAUACAAGCUUAUUAUUUUUUCAUAAGCCAAAUUAGAGUAGUUUUUGAUGGUUUGAAAGGAAUGAUCAUCGUAAUGGGUUGCUCUUUUUGAUUUUGUUUUUCUGAAUUUUAUUGAUGAUGUUGUUGAAAAGUAGGGAUGAAGAGUAAAAAAAGAAAACGAAAAAUAGAAAAGAUUUUUUUAAAAAAAAAAUCAAAAAUGAUUAAAGGCCACAUAAGCAUGCCAUGUAAUCACUUUUGUCCAGUCACGUGCCACCUAGGAUUGCCAUGUCAGCAAAAACGGAAGAUUCCAAAUCCAAGUGGCACAGAGGGGGGUAAAUGACGGAAUAUUCACAUUGCGAGGGGGUAAUCCAAAUUAUUUAUUUUACAGGGGGUAAAAUAAAACUGGCAUAUUUUGCAGGG